rnacentral:rRNA from 1 species
GUAAUGCUUAGGAAUCUGCCUAUUAGUGGGGGACAACAUUCCGAAAGGAAUGCUAAUACCGCAUACGUCCUACGGGAGAAAGCAGGGGAUCUUCGGACCUUGCGCUAAUAGAUGAGCCUAAGUCGGAUUAGCUAGUUGGUGGGGUAAAGGCCUACCAAGGCGACGAUCUGUAGCGGGUCUGAGAGGAUGAUCCGCCACACUGGGACUGAGACACGGCCCAGACUCCUACGGGAGGCAGCAGUGGGGAAUAUUGGACAAUGGGGGGAACCCUGAUCCAGCCAUGCCGCGUGUGUGAAGAAGGCCUUAUGGUUGUAAAGCACUUUAAGCGAGGAGGAGGCUACCGAGACUAAUACUCUUGGAUAGUGGACGUUACUCGCAGAAUAAGCACCGGCUAACUCUGUGCCAGCAGCCGCGGUAAUACAGAGGGUGCGAGCGUUAAUCGGGAUUUACUGGGCGUAAAGCGUGCGUAGGCGGCUUUUUUAAGUCGGAUGUGAAAUCCCCGAGCUUAACUUGGAAUUGCAUUCUAUACUGGGAAGCUAGAGUAUGGGAGAGGAUGGUAGAAUUCCAGGUGUAGCGGUGAAUGCGUAGAGAUCUGGAGGAAUACCGAUGGCGAAGGCAGCCAUCUGGCCUAAUACUGACGCUGAGGUACGAAAGCAUG